ACAUGUCUUUUUGAAAUAAUAAUUUUAAGUCGGAUCUGCUCCAUGAUUAAGAAUUAAAUAGCUGCAGUAUUUUAACUGUACAAAGGUAGCAUAAUCAGUAGUUUUUUAAUUAAAAGCUGGAAUGAAUGAUUUGAUAAGGUAAAUAUUGUCUCAGAUUUAAUAAAUUUAUAAUUUAUUUUUUAGUAAAAAUACUAAAAUGAAUUUGAAAGACGAGAAGACCCUAUAGAUUUUUAUAUUUAUAAUUUUAAUAAAUUAUAAUUUUAUUUAGUUAUUAUAAUUAUUUUUAUUUGGUUGGGGUAAUUAUUAAAUUAAUAAAAUUUUAAUUUAUAAAAAACAAAAAUUAUUGAUUAUAUGAUCUUUAAGUUUAAGAUUAAAAGAUUAAAUUACCUUAGGGAUAACAGCGUAAUUUUUUUUGAUAGUUCAUAUUGAUAAAAAAGUUUGCGACCUCGAUGUUGAAUUAAGGUUAAAUUUUAAUGUAGAAGUUAAUAAAUUUUUGGUCUGUUCGACCAUUAAAAUCUUACGUGA
rnacentral:rRNA from 1 species